GAAUAAAGAGUAAAGAGGAUGAAUAAAUAACUUGCAUAAUCUGCAUGAGUUUUAUAUUGAGCAUAUUUCUUGCUUUAUUAUUCAGGUAUAUUAGCAUCAUGUUAUAGAUUGGUUACUAUAUUCAGCUUAUCCUUUCUAUUAUGCCUGAGUUAGUCCUAGUGGGAAAGUCGAUGAUGUUGGGGCCGAACCCAUUGGGAACUUUGUUGUAGUUCUCACCCCACUAUUCCACAGAGCCGGGACCGAGCGAGCCGGCGAGCGACCGCGGUAAAGGUAUCGCACCAUAGUCAGAGGCCACCAGACUUGGGUUAUUUCAUAUUUUGUUAGUAACCACCCUAUUGUCAUCUUUUAUAUCUGAUGAUUAAUGAUGUAAAGAAAAGAAUGUAAAGCUCUCUUUUGAGGUAAAUGUGAUGUAAGAAAGAAAUGAUAUAAUGAUGUAAUGAAAUGAGAGGAAUCGAAAAUGUACAAGUUGGAUGUAAUGUAUAUGAUCUAAAU
rnacentral:lncRNA from 1 species